UGAUGAUUAAUGAUAAAAAAAAUGCUAAUAUUUUUGAGUAUUGGUUUUCGUCGCCUUAUAAGGUGCUUAAGCCCGCAGCAAAUAAGUUUUUAUCUGCGCCGCCUACUAGCGUAGCAAGUGAACAACUUUUUAGCAAAGCUGGACAAUUGUAUGACGAGAGACGACAUUCUUUGAAGGGCGAAAAUGCCGAAAAAUUGCUUUUUUUAUGUUAUAAUAUAAUGUUAUUUAACUUUGAUUAUUAAAACAAUUAAUUUUGUUAAA